UACGUAGGCAGCGAGCGUUGUUCGGAGUUACUGGGCGUAAAGGGUGUGUAGGCGGUUGUUUAAGUUUGGUGUGAAAUCUCCCGGCUCAACUGGGAGGGUGCGCCGAAUACUGAAUGACUUCGAGUGCGGGAGAGGAAAGUGGAAUUCCUGGUGUAGCGGUGAAAUGCGUAGAUAUCAGGAGGAACACCGGUGGUGUAGACGGUUUUCUGGACCGUAACUGACGCUGAGACACGAAAGCGUGGGUAGCAAACAGG
rnacentral:rRNA from 1 species